UGGUGAGUAGCGCAACUGGCUAGAGCAUCAGAAUUUGGGUCUGAGGGUUAAGGGUUCGAAUCCCUUCUCGCCAA
rnacentral:tRNA from 1 species